GCUGCUAUGGUCUAGUGGUAUGAUUUUCGCCUCACAAGCCGUGAACGCGAACGGUCGCGAGUUCGAACCUCGCUGGCAGUA
rnacentral:tRNA from 1 species